AGCAUUGUUUCUUCAUUGGCUAGACAGGCUCAGAAGCCACUCCUCCUGCUAAUGAAGUGCUCAAAGGAGCUUCCUGUGUUUCAAGAUUCAAGGGCAGAGUCAUCCCGUGACAUCCUCUUGCAAUGGAAGUUAUCUGGUGGGAGACCCUUGGCUUGAAGCUGUUGGCAGUCUAUGCAGGUCUUUGCCAUGCUAUUAUAGUGACCCAGAAGGAACGCUUCAAAAUCAUCCCAGAGGGGAUCCAGACAAAUAUCACCUGCAAUUAUGAUGAUAGCAGCUACAUCAUACUCUUUUGGUAUCGGCAGGACAGCAACGCUGGAGAGAAGCAGUUCCAGCUUAUUGGAUACUCCAUUGCUGAAAGUGAUAUGAGAAGGGAAAUCUUGACAUAUGAGAUCACUAGAAGAGCAGUGACUCAUUCUUCCCUUAUCAUCCCUCCGGAAGAGGCUGCAAAGCCCGCAGUAUACUUCUGUGCAGUUAGUGAGGCACAGUGAGAACUCCAGGUCACCCAGCUACACACAAACUACCUAGCGCUGUUUUGUUGCCGGUCUGUGUCACAUAGAUUGCAGCCAUGUGCACAGAUCCAUCCACACAGGAUUGAAGCGAAACACUGUUUGCCUCUGAAUUGUGAUUUUAUUCAUUGAUUUCUCUGCUCGUAUUUUCAAUUAUUACACAUUUCCCUUUUUGAGAAGUUAACCAUUUAUUUAUUUCUUAAUUUGCAAAAUGUCAAUGCUGUCCCAGUCAUAGCACAUUAAGUGGAUAGAAGAAGGCCCACAAAUACAUCUAAUACUAUUUAUGAUCAAAUGAGGGCCAUUGGUAGUCUUCCACAAUUCCAAACUGGAAUGAGAGCUUUCCAAGCCAGAGCUUUAGAAGUGAGUUGCAAUCUUGCAAAAGAUAUAGCAAUAGCAAUAGCGUUUAGACCGUUUAGACCGCAUCAUAGUGCUUCACAGCACUCUCUGGGCAGUUUACAAUGCGGAAGUGCUAUAUUUGCAUAUUGGCCCCAACAAUUUGUGUCCUCAUUUUACUGAUUUUGGAAGGAUGGAAGGCUGAACUUUGAGCUAUUCUGUGAAUUGACCAGAAACACAAACAAACAAGCAAACAGAUUUCUAAUUGUUAUGCCAUACCUAACGAAAGCAGGGACUUUGUAUUAUCUGUCAUUCAAAAGAUUUAAUAAUAAACAUUUGGAUUUCUUUCUGUGCCUAGAGAGACCACUAUGGCAGUGUUCAGAAAAGCUUGAUUAAGGUUGGGACCACUGUCAGCGUUUAGGUGGCAUAGCUUGGACCUCCUUCAAGCCACUCAUUCUUUUGCUUUAAAAUCCCGUCUUAAGCAAGCAAAGAAUAUGUGUAUGUAGUGGCAAUAUAUUUUUUUCUGAUCAGUCCCAAGAAUACAUGGUGCUUUUGCCAAGGAAAAGGUCAGUAUGUUCCUGGGGCAUUUAGAGAUGCCUCUGCUCACU